AUUGAACGCUGGCGGCAUGCCUUACACAUGCAAGUCGAACGGCAGCGCGGACUUCGGUCUGGCGGCGAGUGGCGAACGGGUGAGUAAUGUAUCGGAACGUACCAUUCAGUGGGGGAUAACGCAGCGAAAGUUGCGCUAAUACCGCAUAUUCUGUGCGCAGGAAAGCAGGGGAUCGCAAGACCUUGCGCUGAUUGAGCGGCCGAUAUCAGAUUAGCUAGUUGGUGAGGUAAAGGCUCACCAAGGCGACGAUCUGUAGCGGGUCUGAGAGGAUGAUCCGCCAAACUUGAACUGAGACACGGUCCAGACUCCUACGGGAGGCAGCAGUGGGGAAGUUUGGACAAUGGGCGCAAGCCUGUUCCAGCCAUGCCGCGUGAGUGAAGAGGGCCUUCGGGUUGUAAAGCUCUUUCGGCCGGGAAGAAAUCGUAUGGGUUAAUACCCUGUGCGGAUGACGGUACCGGCAUAAGAAGCACCGGCUAACUACGUGCCAGCCGCCGCCGUAAGAC
rnacentral:rRNA from 1 species